UUCCUUUCUUUACAAUAUUUCUCAUAUAAACCUCAACAUCCAAGUGGCAUUUAUCAUGCAUUCAAAGCCAACCAAUAUCAAUCAUAUAUCAUCUCAUACUAGCACACAUAACCAUGAUGAUACAUAUAUCAAUAUGACGAGGCCGUUUACUUAUAUAUACACAACAACAUUUAUCAAAAAAAAAAGCCAAAUCAAAUGGCUAAAUACUUGACCAAAUCAUGUAGGCUACAUUAGCCCAACAACCUAUACAAUGCCAUUAUAACCCAAAAAUAAUAAACCAUGAGUACCAAAAUAGCCAAUAGAUAGUGUGAUGAUGUCUCUGACUCUUCCAACUGCGCGAACUUCCGAUAUCUAGAUACACAAAGAAUUUUAAAACGACGUAAGUAUAAAAUGCUUAGUAAGUUUGUAAUUCAAAGAAGUAAAGCCUAUAACUUCAAUUUAUAAGCAUAAUUUAUUUAAGUCACUCCAACAUGCCUUGGCCUUAGCCUAACCAACAUUAGCCUUUCAAUUUUAAACAUCACAUGAACUAGCAAAUUAUUACAAAACAUUAUGACAUAAGUUUACAUUACUUAUGUGCAUUCACAUAUCAACCAUAUAGCUAAAUAUAUUUUAAUCAUCCAAAAACUCAUUCUUCUCCAUUCUUUCAAUAGCAAUUCAAAUUGAAGAAUUUUUCAAUCUUUACCUUUUUCUCAUAUCCAUUGAACCACAAUUUAAAUGAAUAAACAUAUCAUAAUAUAACUCAUAUUGUUCCACCAACCUAUCAUACAUUCAUUCACAAGGUUAGCUACGAAAUUCACAAAUUUCAUCAAUUCAAUGCUUGUACAGUUCUUGUACAUACCUGUACCAUCUCGUACCAAUUUCAUACUCAUCCAUAUUUUUGAUAUACCCAUUGAACCAUUUGGAAUAAAUAUUGGAUACUCGGGAAUCUUGCACACUAAGUGCUAAUAUCAUGGCUCGAAGCCAAAUCAAUGUAACUUUAAUGACAUGCCCUUUGUAUCUUAAUUUAUUCCUAAGGUUCAACUGGGUUUUCCAAUGCUAAAUUUUCAUAAAAUACUUCCGUACAAUCAUAAUCAUCAACAAUUCAAAUAUACAGCAUUAAAUCUCAAUUAUAAUAAUGUUUAUUAACAAGCUCAUACAUCCAUGUACAUACCUGUACCGAUCCAUAACAAAAUCAUACUUACACGAAAUGUCGCUGCACAAUCGAUGUCUUGCACGCUAAGUGCUAUACCGGAUGUUUCGCACACUAAGUGCCAUCCUCGAUACUUCGUACACUAAGUGCCAUUUCGGAUGUUUCGCACACUAAGUGUCAUCAUCAAUACUUCGUAUACUAAGUGCCAUUUCGGAUGUCUCGCACACUAAGUGCCAUCCUCAAUACUUCGGACGCUAAGUGCCAUUUCAAAUGUCUCGCACACUAAGUGCCAUUUCAGAUGUCUCGCACACUAAGUGUCAUCCUCAAUACUUCGCACACUAAGUGCCGUUCGUUUGGUCGAUAAAUCAUUAAUCAUUAAAAUACUCAUAAAUAUUUCAUUUAUAUGAUUUCAACGCAUUAAAUGCUUAAUAUAAUAAUACUUAAUACGUACGAACUUACCUGACUAAAUUGUAGAAAUACCAAAGUUCAGGGGCAUUUUGGAAAUUUUUCAUUUUCCUUGAUUUUUCCACCCGAUCUUGAUCUAAAUUAAUAAUUUUAUUUAAUAUAUUAAUUUAGACAGUAAAAAAAUUCAUUUCAUACAAAUUGAUCAUUUUUUAUAUUUUUACAAAAUUACCCCUAAAAUUUUACUUUUAUUCAAUUUAGUCACUGAGCUCAAAACAUACAAAUUAACCAUUUUUAACCAAAAUUGAGCUUAGCCAAAUAUUCAUGGUAUCAAAAACAACCUAUAAUUCACUUUAUGGAAAAAUUAUAUUUUUGCCCCGAAUAUUUUAACUUUUUUACAAUUUAGUCCCUAGGCUCAUAAAAAUGAAACUCAUGAAAUUUCAACACACUCAAGCCUAUCCCAAUAUAUUAUAAGCCUACAGCAGCCUAUAAAUUUCACAAUUUCACUUGUUAACACACAAUUUUUGUAUUUAUCAAUUUAAUCUCUAAUCGAUAAUUUCAUCAAAAAUCACUUAACAAAAAGUGUUUAACACCCAACAAGGUUUCAUUUUCUUCCAUUAAACUUCAUAAGCAACUAUCAUGCUUUCAUGGCAAAACUCUAAAUUUUUAACCAUAUUGUAAAUUAAUCCUCUCUUUAGCUAGAGUAAGACACAAGGUUUUCAAAAACAUGAAAAUCAUUAAAAACGAACACCAAUUUCACUUACAUGCAAGGGAUUUUGUGGCUGAAAAAAUCAAGCUUUCAAAGCUCUUUCUUUGCUGAUUUUUUCGGUGAAGAAGAAGAUGAAGAUGACCAUUUUUUUGUUUCUUUCUUUUCUUUUAAUUAUUCUAUUUACUAAUAAUUAUUCCCAAC
rnacentral:lncRNA from 1 species